UGAAAUGGAAUUCCUGACACUAUGCAACUUUGGUCUAUGAAGGAAGUUAAAAAAAAUACUCCCAAUAAUGAGGAAACCACUGAUAUGCUGUUGUUUUACUGGCCAGGAGAAUUUUACGUGAGCGUUCUUUGUUAUCUGUAACAAAAUUUUCCUUUGUAGCAUUUUCUUACAACUGUGCUGGGCAGAAACUUGUAGAUUUUUCUUGCUGGUUUAUGAUAGUAUUGUUUCAUUAGCUAAACUGUACUGGACCAUCAUGGUGUAGAGUAAUAGAGUAUGUGGCAGUCUAUUGGAAGGAAACUAUAGCUGAAUGCUCCUGUAUUAUUUAUAGCAAACUUAUCUCCCAAUUGUAUCUAUCCAAAAAGGAGAAAGAGUUAUAUAUCCAGUGACAUUUUAUUUUGUC
rnacentral:sRNA from 1 species